rnacentral:lncRNA from 1 species
AUGUUUUCCAUGUUUUGUUUGUUGGUAAGGACGACUCGUCUUUCCUCAUUUGUGAUUCUUAAACCCGAAAUUCGGUUGUUCACGAGACGCAUGCACAGAGACCAGCAAGUAAGGAGCCGCUGUGAAGGCAAACCCGUCGCAGUAGCGACGCGACUCCGCCACAAACCUAAGGAGAGGAAAUCUCGCGAUGCGGGAUUCCAGCGUCUCCAGCGUAAGCAACGCAGCUCAGAGCCAGGGCCCGCACGCCGUGUGGGGUCCCGCGACCUUUGCUCACCGCAGAAGCCCCGCCCACAAAGCUGGUCCCGCCCUGGCCGCCGCGAGGCGAGAACUCUAGAAAUGGAGCUGAUCCAGGUGGGCUCGUCAGGUGACGAAGAUGGAAACCCCAGGUCUGCCAGCAAGAAAAGAGAGUCUGUGGGUCAGAGACUAUCCCCAGGGCAUCCUUGGAGCCAUGACCUGAAGAGAGACAAGCCACAGACUGGAAGGAGCUACAUUUGCAUCACCACUGGAGAACAAUCACCCCCAAAGGAUUUGGAGAGAAGUCUUCUCUAG